rnacentral:rRNA from 1 species
GACGAGAGGCCCAAGCGUUAUCCGGAGUAACUGGGCGUAAAGGGUGUGUAGGGGGUUGUGUUAGUCCUGUUUUAAAUCUUCAUGCCCAACGUGAAGGCCGGACAGGAAACGGCACAACUAGAGGAUGUGAGAGGCAAGUGGAACUCAUGGUGGAGGGGUGAAAUCCGUUGAUAUCAUGGGGAACACCAAAGGCGAAGGCAACUUGCUGGCGCAUACCUGACCCUGAAACACGAAAGCGUGGGGAUCAAAAAGG